rnacentral:lncRNA from 1 species
CUCAUUUGACCUUAGGAAAAAAAAAAAAAGACACUCAUUGGGUGAUUUUUAAUAUCCUAGUAGGAAAUGUUGUAAAUAAGUUAAAGGAAUCUGUAUUGGGUUUACAUGGCAAAGAUUUGGUAGCAAGGGGACUGCAGAGGUGGCCUCUGUGAGCAGAGUCCUGCAGCUGCCCCACGUCAGAGCAGAGCCGGCUCCAAAAGGGACCUGCAGCUGGCCAGAGCCGAGCCAGGGACCGAUGCUGGGUAGGCCUCUGGAAGAAUGGAGUUAAGGAAGGGAAACAACAUUCAACAGCAGCUGAGAGAGAGGGGUGAGAACAUGUGAGGGAACAAGCCCCCAGCAGUUCCCCAAAGUCAAUGCAGCAAGAGGUGCUCCAGGUGCCAGAGCCAGUGUUUCGCUGCAGCCUGUGGAGAGGCCCCUGGUGGAGCAGGUGGAGACAAAGUAUUGUGGGCUGACUGCAGGCCCCAUUUUCCUGCACUACUUAGGGGGAUAGGGUAGAAGAGAGUAGAUGGAGGGCAGGUGGUUUUAGUUUGCUUUUAGUUUCUCAUUGGUCUUGUCUGAUAGCAGUAGACAAUAAGUUUUGUUAAUCUCCCUUCUGUGAAUCUGUUUUGCCUGUCAUGUUAAUUGGUUGGGCGAUCAUACUGUCCUUAUCUCAACCUGUGAGUGUUUUUUUUUUCUUUUUUUUUUUUUUCUUUUGUUUUAUUUUGUUUUUGUUUUUUCCUCCACCUGUUCCUGUGAGGAGGGGAAGUGAGAGGGUGAUGUGGUGGAGUUUCAUUGGCCAUCAGUGUGAAACCACUACAGAAUCUCUGCCUGAAGGUGCUUUGUAUUUCUCCUUGAGAGUAGAGGACUCCAGGAAACUGUUGCACAGGUGCCAUUUGUAAAAUGCAGCUCUGGAUCCUGAGCAUUCACAACGCUUCUGGGUGUUCAGACCUCUGCUUGAUUAGAGCCAGCCAAUAUAGUUAAAGGU